rnacentral:lncRNA from 1 species
GAAAUGUGUGGUUAAAAUUAAUUGUUGAGUUUGACUUAAAUUUUAUUCAAGUUUUUUUAAGUUAGACCAAACAGAGGCCUAUUCUUUUUCUCUUGUUAAAUAAUAUUGUGAAUUAGCUGUGAUUUAAUGGUUUCUCAUGACUUGAGCUUUCUGGUACAUUCUUUCUGGACUGCUGUAAGCUAUUUAAGUUUAUCGUUACAUAUGCAUAUAGUUGGAUCAUAUUAUAUUUUGAUUAUAUAUUUGCUUAAAUUUCCUCUUUUAAGUCAUUUAUAUGCUUAGUAGUGUUGCAUAUUUUCUGGAGCUGUUUCUUGUCCUCUUAUUAGAGGUUAGCCAUGUAUGUCACAAACAAUCAUUACUUCAUUUUCUCUGGUUCAGCAAAAGAGAUGCAACGGGUUCGCUUGUUUGACGUGUUGGGGAAGCACCCAAAGAACUUGAGAGCAUCUUCAGUUGAGUAGCAAUGGAAAACCGAGGCUUGUCUCAUAGACCAUAUAAGUGUACUUAAUCAAUCCUUGUAUACAGUACAUAACAUGUUUGUGUUUUUGCAUUAGACUAUCAUCAGUCCUCAGUAAGCCAUUUAGAUGUAGCAAAUUUUGAAUUGUAUAGAUUACAAAAGAAUUACUGGCUUUAUACUGCAAUUUUCCGGUAUUUCUCCUUGCUGCUGAUAAAUUUUCCUCAAUUUCAUUUCGUUUAAGAUAUAGAGAAAAUGACUUGGUUAGGCGAUAAGUUGCUAAUGUCCAUUAGUUUAUUUGAUUUUACACACAUCAACGUCACACACUUCUCUUUAAAUUCAUUAUCAAUAUAUAAUUAUAUUACAAGCUUAUAUAUAUGUAUAUUAAAAAAUACAUCCAGAUAUAUGGUUUGCAUAUCCCAAUCUGAU